CAGUGAGGAAUAUUGCGCAAUGGGGGCAACCCUGACGCAGCGACGCCGCGUGGGUGAGGAAGGCUUUCGGGUCGUAAAACCCUGUCAGAAGGGAAGAAGUGCUUAUAGGUUAAUACCUUGUAAGUUUGACGGUACCUUCAAAGGAAGCACCGGCUAACUCCGUGCCAGCAGCCGCGGUAAUACGGAGGGUGCAAGCGUUGUUCGGAAUCACUGGGCGUAAAGGGCGCGUAGGCGGCUUGGCAAGUCAGAUGUGAAAGCCCACGGCUUAACCGUGGAAGUGCAUUUGAAACUGCUUGGCUUGAGUAUCAGAGGGGAAAGUGGAAUUCCCGGUGUAGAGGUGAAAUUCGUAGAUAUCGGGAGGAAUACCGGUGGCGAAGGCGACUUUCUGGCUGAAUACUGACGCUGAGGCGCGAAAGCGUGGGGAGCAAACAGGAUUAGAUACCCUGGUAGUCCACGCCGUAAACGAUGUCAACUAGGUGCAGGGGGUGUUGAUCCCUUCUGUGUCGCAGCUAACGCAUUAAGUUGACCGCCUGGGGAGUACGGUCGCAAGAUUAAAACUCAAAGGAAUUGACGG
rnacentral:rRNA from 1 species